UCCAUCAUGGCAGUGGAAACUGAAAGGCUUGAGUAUGGUAGGGGCAGAGGGAAUUCCCGGUGUAGCGGUGAAAUGCGUAGAUAUCGGGAAGAACACCAGUGGCGAAGGCGCUCUGCUGGGCCAUUACUGACGCUCAUGGACGAAAGCCAGGGGAGCGAAAGGGAUUAGAUACCCCUGUAGUCCUGGCCGUAAACGAUGAACACUAGGUGUCGGGGGAAUCGACCCCUUCGGUGUCGUAGCUAACGCGUUAAGUGUUCCGCCUGGGGAGUACGCACGCAAGUGUGAAACUCAAAGGAAUUGACGGGGGCCCGCACAAGCGGUGGAGUAUGUGGUUUAAUUCGAUGCAACGCGAAGAACCUUACCAGGGUUUGACAUCCUGCGAACCUCUUAGAAAUUUGAGGGUGCCUUCGGGAAUGCAGUGACAGGUGGUGCAUGGCUGUCGUCAGCUCGUGUCGUGAGAUGUUGGGUUAAGUCCCGCAACGAGCGCAACCCACGUUUUUAGUUGCCAGCAUUUAGUUGGGCACUCUAGAAAGACCGCCGGUGAUAAACCGGAGGAAGGUGUGGAUGACGUCAAGUCAUCAUGCCCCUUACACCCUGGGCUACACACGUACUACAAUGCUACGGACAAAGGGCAGCAAACUCGCGAGAGCUAGCAAAUCCCAUAAACCGUGGCUCAGUUCAGAUCGUAGGCUGCAACUCGCCUACGUGAAGUAGGAAUCGCUAGUAAUCGCAGGUCAGCAUACUGCGGUGAAUACGUUCCCGGGCCUUGUACACACCGCCCGUCACACCAUGGAAGUUGGCCAUGCCCGAAGUCGUUACUCCAACCCUUGUGGAGGAGGACGCCGAAGGUGGGGCUAAUGACUGGGGUGAAGUCGUAACAAGGUAGCCG
rnacentral:rRNA from 1 species